UACGGAGGGUGCAAGCGUUAAUCGGAAUUACUGGGCGUAAAGGGUGCGUAGGUGGUUGUUUAAGUCUGCUGUGAAAGCCCCGGGCUCAACCUGGGAAUGGCAGUGGAUACUGGACAGCUAGAGUGCGGUAGAGGGUAGUGGAAUUCCCGGUGUAGCAGUGAAAUGCGUAGAGAUCGGGAGGAACACCAGUGGCGAAGGCGGCUACCUGGACCAGCACUGACACUGAAGCACGAAAGCGUGGGGAGCAAACAGG
rnacentral:rRNA from 1 species